AGAAUCUUGGAGAUUCCUGUCUACUGGAGGCCUUCUAAUACCCUGAAGCAAGGCAACAUCUGGAGAAUGGACAGCUGAGGCAGCUGGAGGCAGGAGACCAUGUCUAUCCCACAGCUGCAGAGGUUAAGCAGCUUUCUACUGAUUGCCAAUCAUGGCUUUGAACAUGAAGAGAAUCUUUGACAGGAACGGUGUUCCCUUGGGGUCUGUAUUGAGGCCAGCCCUGUUCAACAUCUUUGCUGAUGAUCUGGACAAAGGGAUUGAGUGCAUCCUCGCUCGACUUUAAUGAAAGUUCUGCCUCUGGGAUCCUCAGCUCAUGGUUGAACAAAGCUGGAGCCAUCUGUGCAGCUACUUUUACCAUCACAGGAGCAGAUGCUGUUUCAGUGCAGCAUCCUAGAA